GCUGGGUGUGGUUGUGCAUGCCCUUAAUCCCAGCAACUCAGGAGGCUGAGGCAGGAGGAUCACGAGUUCAAAGGCAGUCUCAGCGACUUAGCAAGGCCUUAAGCAAUUCAGUGAGACUAUGUCUCUA
rnacentral:sRNA from 1 species